AGCCUACUAUUUGAGCUGGAUAAAGGGUCACCCUGCUAAGGUGAUGAUCGAGGGUUCAAGUCCCUUAAUACCUU
rnacentral:tRNA from 1 species